rnacentral:rRNA from 1 species
UCUAAGUAUAAACGUUCUACACGUGAAACCGCGUAUGGCUCAUUAAAACAGCUAUAAUUCACUUGAUCUUGACACAAUCCUACUUGGAUAACUGUGGUAAUUCUAGAGCUAAUACAUGCAUUAAAGCUCUGACCUCACGGAAAGAGUGCAUUUAUUAGAACAAAACCAAGCGGCUUCGGCUGUUUUCGGUUGACUCAUAGUAACUGAGCUGAUCGCAUGGUCUUGCACCGGCGACGUGUCUUUCAAGUAUCUGCCGUAUCAACUUUCGAUGGUAGUGUAUCUGACUACCAUGGUGAUCACGCGUAACGGAGAAUAAGGGUUCGACUCCGGAGAGUUCGCCUGAGAAAUCGCGAACACAUCUAAGGAAGGCACCAGGCGCGAAAAUUACCCACUCUCAGCACGAGGAGGUAGUGACGAAAAAUAACGAGACCGUUCUCUUUCGAGGCCGGUCAUCGGAAUGGGUACAAUUUAAA